ACUCAAAUGAAUUGACGGGGGCCCGCACAAGCGGUGGAGCAUGUGGUUCAAUUCGAUGCAACGCGAAAAACCUUACCUGGGUUUGAAGUGCUAGUGAAUGUGGUAGAGAUAUCACAGGCCUUCGGGACACUAGUAUCAGGUGCUGCAUGGCUGUCGUCAGCUCGUGUCGUGAGAUGUCGGGUUAAGUCCCAUAACGAGCGCAACCCCUAUAUUUAGUUGCCAGCAUUAAGUUGGGCACUCUAGAUAGACUGCCGGCGUUAAGCCGGAGGAAGGCGGGGAUGACGUCAAGUCCUCAUGGCCUUUAUGUCCAGGGCUACACACGUGCUACAAUGGUCGAUACAAAGGGAUGCAAGAUCGCGAGAUGGAGCAAAUCCCAAAAAAUCGAUCUAAGUUCGGAUAGGAGUCUGCAACUCGACUCCUUGAAGCUGGAAUCGCUAGUAAUCGUGGAUCAGCAUGCCACGGUGAAUACGUUCCCGGGCCUUGUACACACCGCCCGU
rnacentral:rRNA from 1 species